rnacentral:lncRNA from 1 species
AUGAGCCAUAUGUGAUACCAUCCACCUGUCACUAAACCUGAGGAAUAAUUCUGUUCAUUAAAGUCGGGCAAUGGAAGAUUUUCGAAUUGAAAUUCCAGAAUUUGAAGUUCCAGAAAUUGAAAUUAUAGAAAGUGAAGUUCCAAAAGGAAACUUUUGGGAUGUGGAGAUAGAAAUGGAUUAUGAAUUAGAUAUGGAGGAUAAUAAUGAGGAGGGCAUAGAAGAUGAAGAAUCUGAGAAUAAAAGACGACCUCGACCAAAAGCUGCAAAUCCAAAUCCAAAACACCAAAUCCAGCACAAUCGCCAAAUGCAGCAUAAACGCCAAGGUCCUCGCAAAGUCCAAGUAAAAGUGAAAGACUACUUACGCCUCUCUGUGUUCAGCACUAAAUUAUGCAACUGCCUGUUUCUGGGUACAGCUGCAUUGAUAUGCUCCUUGAAGGCAAUGAACAGGAAGUGUAAAAGAGAUGUCAAAGGAGCAAAGAAAUUCAGCCGCUGUGCUCUUGCUGCCAAUAUUUGUGCCAUCAUUACAACCAUCAUCACCAUUAUUGUUGUUGCUGUUGUCACUGCAAUUGUUAAGAAUGGAUCUGGUAAUAAUAACCAUAUAUGUUAUGUCAUUUAAAUUUUCACAUCCAGCCAUUACAAUGAAACAUAAGAAUCAUAAUUAGCUUUAUUCGCCAGGUGUGUGCAAACACACAAUGAAUUUGUUGUGUUUUGUUAUGGUGACCUCAGCACCAAAACUUGUAGCUCUGGCUAUAUGAAAGGCUAUGUGAUGCAAUCUACCGUCGUUUUCAUUAGAUUUGUGUCUUUUUUUUUUAAUGUUACUGUUUGAUGCUUAUUAUUAAACAUUGCAUUCAACUGUACAUAUUUGUAAUUUCAUUGGAUGUUUGUUAAUGAGAACUAUACUGACAUUUAUCUUCACACACUAUUACAUCUGUGAACAUAACAUAGAGGCGGAGGCAAGCAAAGGCUCUAAAAGGGGGAUAUUUAUUAAACAGUUACUUAAGAGUUACUUACAAUAAUAAAGAGGAAAAAUCAGUUUAGUUUUCCACUAGUUGCCAGCAAAAGUCCCACAACAGCUUCCACCGUCACGUCAGCAUUUAUUCCACUCAGCUCAUAAGGAACACAGGCGUAUGAAAUCAGCACCUAAUAAAUGAAGACAAAAUAACAAAAACUCUCGGCCAUAGGGCAGCCAUAUCAGUACAAGCCAUUACUUGUGAAAAGAAAUAAAAUUACAUCCACAUGUAACACACACAUAUAUUAUAUUAUACUCUUUGAAGACUACAAGCUACAGAAUGAAUUUACUUUUGUGUUGAACAAACGCUAGACUUCAGAUCAACAGCACAUCCUGAAAAAAGACCUUAUGUGUGCAUUACAUUGUACAGACAUAAAUAAUGUUUAUUAGUUUUCAUUUGAAGGAGCAAAAUUAAUAAACAUAUUUGAGUGUUUGUGAAGUAAAAACGAAGCAUAUGAAUCUUGAUUGUGAACAG